rnacentral:rRNA from 1 species
AACGAACGCUGGCGGCAGGCCUAACACAUGCAAGUCGAGCGCGCCUUCGGGUGAGCGGCGGACGGGUUAGUAACGCGUGGGAACGUACCCUUCUCUACGGAAUAGCCUUUGGAAACGAAGAGUAAUACCGUAUACGCCCUUUGGGGGAAAGAUUUAUCGGAGAAGGAUCGGCCCGCGUUAGAUUAGAUAGUUGGUGGGGUAACGGCCUACCAAGUCUACGAUCUAUAGCUGGUUUUAGAGGAUGAUCAGCAACACUGGGACUGAGACACGGCCCAGACUCCUACGGGAGGCAGCAGUGGGGAAUCUUAGACAAUGGGCGCAAGCCUGAUCUAGCCAUGCCGCGUGAGUGAUGAAGGCCUUAGGGUCGUAAAGCUCUUUCGCCUGUGAUGAUAAUGACAGUAGCAGGUAAAGAAACCCCGGCUAACUCCGUGCCAGCAGCCGCGGUAAUACGGAGGGGGUUAGCGUUGUUCGGAAUUACUGGGCGUAAAGCGCACGUAGGCGGAUUGGAAAGUUGGGGGUGAAAUCCCGGGGCUCAACCCCGGAACUGCCUCCAAAACUAUCAGUCUAGAG